UACGUAGGGUGCAAGCGUUAAUCGGAAUUACUGGGCGUAAAGCGUGCGCAGGCGGUUAUGCAAGUCCGAGGUGAAAUCCCCGGGCUCAACCUGGGAACUGCCUUUGUGACUGCAUAGCUAGAGUACGGUAGAGGGGGAUGGAAUUCCGCGUGUAGCAGUGAAAUGCGUAGAUAUGCGGAGGAACACCGAUGGCGAAGGCAAUCCCCUGGACCUGUACUGACGCUCAGGCACGAAAGCGUGGGGAGCAAACAGG
rnacentral:rRNA from 1 species